GGGCGGUGCCCCAGGGCGGGGCUGCCGUGAGGGGCGGGCGGUGUCCCCGGACCCCGUCGCCCUCGGUCCCCGCCUGCCUCGGAGCCGGGAACCCCCAACACUGAGCCUUCCGGCUGGUCCUCCUGCAUCGCGUUCCCCAGAGGUGUUUUGGAACAGAGAAUGGGCCUCUUGGUCAGCACCAAGGGCUGGGGAACGGUCACAGUGAACACCCACCUGUUUUUUCCAGAGCAGCACAACUGGUCUAUAUGGAACAUACCGGGAAACCAAGUGGGCGAUUGCCUGUGCUGUUUAUUUUUAUAG
rnacentral:lncRNA from 1 species